AACUUAGACUGCUUUCGGGACUGU
rnacentral:piRNA from 1 species